GGAAAUUCAAAUAUAAUUGGAUGUGAAGCAGCAUAUAUGAAGGGCUUUUUAAAAUAAAAUCAUUUUAUGUUGCAUAAAACGGUACAGUAAAAUUAAUUGCAGUUGGGGGUAUACAGAAAAGAAAAAGUGAGGUGGGGGGGAUCAUCCACUUCGUUGCACGCUAUGUUACAUCACAUGUAGCAUUAGUAUGCUAUAAGCGUAACCAGACAUGUAUACUACUCCACCUCAGUAUCCUGCUUUCAUCAGGUUCUGGGCUAGGUAUCCUGGGGGGUAGUCCUCAAGUGGAUAAAGGUACGCCAUGGGCCCCAUAUCUGAGCGAAUUUGUGUAUCUAUUACUGAUCGAAAAGGUGAUCUCUUCCAUUUGUCUUACAAAUUCCACCCUGUGUGUCCAUUCCCUGACCAUGGGUACUUAGGCCUGUUUCCACAAAACCUGGAUCAGCAGGUUCACUGCCGUCAGUAGGUGGGCUACCAAUGUGGCCAUGUUGGCCUUGAUAUUCGGGAUGGGUGCUAAGAGUAAAAGAUAUUCAGGGGAGAAUGGGAUUUUGGAGGAGAAGAUUGUCUGGAUCAUUGUGUGAAUAAGUUUCCAAAACCUUUGGAUCUCUGGGCAUUGCCACCAUAUGUGAGUCGUGUGAGCAUUGUGUUGGUGGCAUCUCCAGCACUCAUCUGAGGCAUUAUCAUGAAUUUUAUGAAUUUUCGCUGGUGUAUAGUGCCAUCUUGUAAUGCAUUUGUAAUUGCUUUCUUGUGUGCCUAGGUUAGUAGACGAUGUGUAUGCUCUUAGAAAAAUUGCUUUCC